rnacentral:rRNA from 1 species
AACGAACGCUGGCGGCAUGCCUAACACAUGCAAGUCGAACGAGACCUUCGGGUCUAGUGGCGCAGGGGUGCGUAACGCGUGGGAACCUGCCCUUAGGUUCGGAAUACCUCCCCGAAAGGGGUGCUAAUACCGGAUAAUGUCUUCGGACCAAAGAUUUAUCGCCUUUGGAUGGGCUGGCGUCGGAUUAGCUUGUUGGUGGGGUAGAGGCCGACCAAGGCGACGAUGGGUAGCUGGUCUGGGAGGAUGAUCGGCCACACUGGGACUGAGAUACGGCCCAGACUCCUACGGGAGGCAGCGGUGGAGAAGAUUGCACUAUGGGCGGGAGGCUGGUGCAGCAACGCCGCGUGCGGGAUGAGGGCCUUCGGGUUGUAAACCGCUUUCGCCUGUGACGAAGCGUGAGUGACGGUAAUGGGUAAAGAAGCACCGGCUAACUACGUG